UGCUGGAAAUUACAAAAAAAAGCCAGACAAGACACCUUAGUCAGGCAAAGGGCUAAGUUAUUGUUCAUUUAGAGGGUCCAUUUGUUCAGCACAUAUAGUAAAGCAAUAACAACACAUGAAGAUUAAAUUAGAAAAAAUAUUUGGAAUACGGUCUAUAUUAUUCACAGAAGAAGUAAUACAGUCAUAUUGAGGAAUUCUCCUGAUGCUCUAAAAAUACCUGUGGUGAGAAGUAAGAACAUAUCUACCAAUAAGGAAGCAACAAUAAUUAAUAAAAAUCAACCCUUUGCUGCUCUACCCCUCCCUUUUCAAAUUCAACAGAGGGGAGGUCAAGACACAGUAAUAGUAGGGCAGAAACCAAAAAGGAAGAACUCAUUCGGCGAGAGACAAAUUCAAACUAUCAAAAAGAUGUGGAAUAUGAUGGACAGAAUUUCAUUUACAUUUCCAAACAUGUCAUGACUAAGCGUGAGCUUGAUAUCUUGAAUAAGGGUUUUACUUUCAUUCCCGCUAGUCGAGCAGAUUUGACAGACACUAUAAUUGAACUGAGAACUUUUGUGCGAAAUGUUGCUUUGAAAAUGAUAUAUGGCUCUGCACAAUGCACAGCUGCAGAUGAGAGGCCCAUGAACAUGGAUACCCAUGCCAACAGGCUGCUAAGGCUGUGCUGCGAGGUUGGCACGGUUUGAAUCCCAGGAGUGGUAGUAAGCUGUAUGCGUAAUUUCACCAAGGAAAAUUUCCUACACAGGUCUGCCAGAAUCGGAAAGCAGAAGUGUUUGUGACUUCAAGUGGCAUUAUGAAUGGAUAUAGUACAUAUCAUACCAGUUGAACUUAGAAGACUUCUGAAUUUUAAAUUGUUACAGAAAUGAACUUUUAAGCACAACUACUGUGAUAUUUUAACGUCAGCAAAAAAAUAAAUAAACAAUUAAGACAAAUAUUUGGUCUGAAGGGUGUAUAGAAUUCAAACACAACAGGAUGCUUGCAUUAAGGCAUGAAGAUGGUUAAGUUACAUCAGAGAAAACAUUUUUGACCACCAGGUGCAAAUUUCAGCCUUGGUCAAAGCUGUUGCAGCUUCUUCAUUUGGGAAAGACAUACUCACAUUUAGAGCUGUUUGUUUUUUGGUAAAAUGUGGUUAAUGAAAAUGGUCAGACUUUUCUUUUUUUCUGAUUUAGAUAAGAAUGAUGAAAAAUAUUUUCAUGAAGAUGAACCUUAGAGAAGUGAAAUGGCACAGUAUUAAUAGUUUGGUCUUUAAAGUUGAGUUAAAUAUUUUUAAUGAAUCAUGAUAUUGCUGCUGUAAUGCUUUGUAAGGGUAAACAUAGUGCACCCAAGACAGAAGCAGAUGGGUUCCAAUAGACUCUUACCAGUGAUAAACUUGGAUGUGUCUUGUGACAGAUGCUAUAACAUAGGCAGGGAGCAGUAAAAAUCAUUAUGUUAUAGAAUGUCAGUAUGUAUAAGAAAAUUAAAAGAAUUUAAGUUACCUUAAAGAACAAAUAGAGGAUCUUCUAUCCUUGACUGACAAUGGCCUGGUUAAUAAAGUCAUAUUAUGAGAUUCCUUAAAAAUGCAUAUUAAGGAUAUUAUAGGAUGAUGGUCUAAUAAUCAAAUGAAAAAUUGUGACAAAGUGAUAUUAGAAAUACAAGAUGCCACACAUAAAAUAAGGUUUAAACAACAAAGAAAUUAAGUAAUACUGAAAUUAAUAAAAAAAUGACAAAAUAACAAGUAAUUUUACCACAUGAAGUAGAGAUAUAUCUAGAAAAAUUAAAAUGACAAAGCUAUGCAAUGACUCCAAAAUAUCUCUUCAGAUUUGCUAAUAGAAGUAGGAUGUUCACAUAAAGGACAAAUCAAAAAUAUUAGAAAUCCCCACACUGAUAUGUUUAUUGCAGAUAUACAGGAAAUAAUAUAGUAAAAAAAAAUUCCAUGAGUAUCUUAAUUAAAAUAUUAAUUUUGAUGAUUGCAAAAGGUAUAAGUAUUUCAAAAAGAAUGUCACUAAUAAACUAACUGGUCAGCCAAUUUCACUGUUAGACAAACACAUGGCACUAACUGAAAUUAAAGAUGUUUUAAAAUGCUAAAAUGACAAAGCUCCAGGGUUAGAAGGUUUAAGUAUGUAGUUAUGCAAUAUGCAUCCAUUAAAUGUUUUAAAAUUACUGAGUAAAGUUUUCAUUAUAAUCCAGAGUGAUAAAAUAAUUCCUCCCUCGUGCAAAUUUUCUGUAAUUUAUCUAUACUUAAAAAAAGAAUAAAAAGUUUUUUCAUAUAGACAUAUUUCAUUAUUAAAUGCAUAUUAUAAAGUAUUUACUUCCAGUUUUGCCACAAGAUUAAGAGAUAUAGUAGAUGAAUUAAUAAAGUCCAAGCAGGAUUUAUAGUUAAUAGAUUAAUUUAUGAUAAUAUCAAAAUGGUAAUAUGAUAAUAAUAAAAAGGUAAUACAAAUUUUGGAUUUAGCAGAUGAAUUGAGCAGAAAAUUGACUCUAAUUAGUUUAGAUACUGAAAGAGCUUUGUCUGUGGAUUAGAAAUAUGUAUUUAAAACUUUGGAAGCAUUUUAAUUUCCAGAACAAUUUAUUGAAAUAUUAAGAAAUCCAUAUAGGGAUUCUAAAGCAUAUACUACAAUUGGAUCUUACAUUCUUACAUUUCUCAAGGCUUUACAUUAAACAAAGGUACAAAUCAAGGAUGUCCUCUGUCUCCUUUAUCUUUUCCAUUAGCCAUUAAACUCUUAGCUAAUAGUAUAAGAAAUAAUGAUAAAACUGAUUUCUUUUUCAAUUUGUAAAGAUUUUCAAUCUAAAAUACAGCUUUUUGCAGAUUAUGUUUUGUUAACUACAGGCAAUUUAAACAACUCAAUUGAAGAAAUAGAUGGGGAACUGGAAAGUUUCAAGAAAUAUCAUUAUUGAAAUUUAAGAAUGGAUAAAACUGAAACCAUAGUGAUGAAUCAACUACUAGAUAGUAAGGUAAAAUAUAAAUAUAAAUAUAACUGGAAAGAACAAUAAUUAAAAUAUUUAGAAGUAAAGAAUUCUCAAGAUGUAAGAUUAUUAACAAUAAUUUUGAAAAAAAAAUAAUUGA